AGGGUUUGAUCCUGGCUCAGGACGAACGCUGGCGGUGCGCCUUAUGCAUGCAAGUCGAGCGAAGCUUUUCAGUAGUUUACUACAGAAAAUGACUGAGCGGCGAACGGGUGAGUAACGCGUGAGCAAUCUACCUUAGUUACAGGGAUAGCCCGAGGAAACUCGGAUUAAUACCUGAUAUUCUUUAUUUCUCGCAUGAGAAUAAAAGGAAAGGUCAGCCGAACUAAGAUGAGCUCGCGUUCUAUCAGCUAGUUGGUGAGGUAAAAGCUUACCAAGGCUACGACGGAUAGCUGGUCUGAGAGGACGAUCAGCCACACUGGGACUGAGACACGGCCCAGACUCCUACGGGAGGCUGCAGCAGGGAAUAUUGUGCAAUGAACGAAAGUUUGACACAGCGACACCGCGUGUGGGAUGACGGAUCUAGGUUUGUAAACCACUUUCAGGGGGGAAGAAAAUGACGGUACCUCCACAAGAAGCCCCGGCCAACUACGUGCCAGCCGCCGCGGUAAUAC
rnacentral:rRNA from 1 species